rnacentral:rRNA from 1 species
GAUGAACGCUGGCGGCGUGCCUAAUACAUGCAAGUCGAGCGAACAGACGAGGAGCUUGCUCCUCUGACGUUAGCGGCGGACGGGUGAGUAACACGUGGAUAACCUACCUAUAAGACUGGGAUAACUUCGGGAAACCGGAGCUAAUACCGGAUAAUAUAUUGAACCGCAUGGUUCAAUAGUGAAAGACGGUUUUGCUGUCACUUAUAGAUGGAUCCGCGCCGCAUUAGCUAGUUGGUAAGGUAACGGCUUACCAAGGCAACGAUGCGUAGCCGACCUGAGAGGGUGAUCGGCCACACUGGAACUGAGACACGGUCCAGACUCCUACGGGAGGCAGCAGUAGGGAAUCUUCCGCAAUGGGCGAAAGCCUGACGGAGCAACGCCGCGUGAGUGAUGAAGGUCUUCGGAUCGUAAAGCUCUGUUAUUAGGGAAGAACAAAUGUGUAAGUAACUAUGCACGUCUUGACGGUACCUAAUGAGAAAGCCACGGCUAACUACGUG